AAUAAUUCUGCCUGUAGAAUUUUUAUUUAUGUUUUAUUUUUAGAAAAAGAUGUCCACCAAUAUAUACUGUAAUAGUAACCUCAUAGAAAGAUAAUUGUUAUCUGUAUAUGUACUUCAAUUAUGCAUUACUUUUUCAUGUCUAAAAUCAGUAACAUUUUGACGGUUUUUCUUUUCUGUUGUAUUUUAUUAAGUGUAAGGUCAAUUAAGUAAAUGCAGGACCAAUUCUCCAGAGAAGUCUGAGAAAAUUAAGUUUAAAACAAUCCAAAAGUGAUAUAUUUCAUUUUUAGUGUGUAUAUUUAAGGUGUACAAUGUAAUGUUGUGAUUUACAUAUACAUAGUGAAAUGAUUACUGUAGCCAAGCAAAGGAACAUAUCCAUCACAAAGUGGUAUAAUUUAUAAUGUCUCCCUCUCAUUGCACUAAAAGGGGUUUCAAUUGUUUGUAAAUAUAUCUAUCUUUGGAUACCUAAUGUCCACUGAUGCAAGUUACGUAAUGAUUUUUAUCUGUUUAUUUUAAUGUAUUUGUAUUUGAUAUUAACCUAAAUAAAUAUUCAUAGAUAAAAAAAGAAACAUUACUCAACUGCAGCACAGAAAUACCAAUGUUCUCAGUCAUAUACAUAAAGAUGAGUGAUGGAAAUCCAGCCUAAUUCUCCUGUAUCCUUGAAUGUGAAGCCAUUUUUUGGACUGCACCUUAAAAAUCGGAAACAUGUUAAAUGUGCCCACUGACAGGCCUUCUCCUGUCCUGGAAGAACUCUUAACCAAUACAGCCACGGAUAGGAAUCCUAGCUCCACCAGGUACUUAUUGUGUGACCAAGUCUUGACGUAACUUUACCUUAGUGAAUUUUCCUUGUAUGCUUCUUGUUGUUUCAAGAGGCAACUUAGCAGCAGUGUAUCAAAAUUAGGAUAUUAACAUCUCUUGUAAUUUUCCUAUGUUGCCUAACUCCAACUAAUGCCAAUAAUAUUAUAAUUCCGGGAUCAGAAUAGACUAUCAUAAGCAGACUCACCAGUUUAGUACACAAUUGUAUUGUUCAUUUAUUGAUGACUUACAGAAUCCAAUCCAACAUUUAUCUGAUAGAUAAAUGAAAAAAGCAGUUUUAUAGCAACACCUCACGUGUACCUUAACUUCUCAGAAAGUAAUUUUCCUUCUUGAUGUUUAUUUCAUUUUACCUGCAAAUGUGUUAUUUUUCUUUAUUGUUUGGGUGUGCUUAAAAAACUUAAAUUACAUACAGUUGUCAGUUAUAUAACUGGCUAAAAAAGUGAAAAAUUCAACGAAUUCUUUUUUUCAUGUCAGCAAAUGGUAUGAUUUGUGUUUUAUAUUGAAUUGUUGAAAUUGAUCUCUUUGACAGUAAAGCAAAUGUUGCUAUUGUUUUGACAGUAUAAAGCAAAGCAAUAUGAAAGCUGAAUAUAUUUAAAGAAACUAUCUAAAAAAUUGAAUCGAAACCGAAUGCAUAUUAAAAAUGAAUAUUUCAUAGGGAAUUUUUGUAUAAUUAUUUUCAUCCAAGUUCUCUGAAAUUUGUUAUGAGAUGGUACUUCUGAAAGUAUAUUACACCAAAAACCAAUCUAAAAUCAACUUUACACUGGAUAAGUUAAAUAAACUUAUUUGAAGUGAAAUCUCAUUUCUAAAUUCAUACAAGAUUUUUUGCUGUGCUUUGUUAUUGUAGAACUUCUACAUCAUUUCUAGAAAUCAUAAAUGUGCAUGACACACAUGUGCAUAUAUUGCAUAUAAUUUGUGGAUCUCAUAUACAUGAGAUUUUCUUAGAGGCAGUCCUCAAAUAGGAAAGUCACUUGUCACUGUGAUGUGUUUGGUUUCUUCUAUGUGUCUACUUAACAAAUCUAUAAGAUAAUUCACACACAGAAACACCCACACAAAGACAUCCAAUAAAAGUAACUCAGUAGGUAAGACAAACCAAGUGCAUUUUUGAAGUUUUACACACGCACAUAUUUAUACCUACAUAUAUACACA
ensembl:lncRNA